rnacentral:rRNA from 1 species
UACCAGCACCCCGAGUGGUCGUGACGAUUAUUGGGCCUAAAGCAUCCGUAGCCGGUCCUGCAAGUCCUCCGUUAAAUCCACCCGCUCAACGGUUGGGCCGCGGGGGAUACUACAGGGCUAGGAGGCGGGAGAGGCAAGCGGUACUCGAUGGGUAGGGGUAAAAUCCACUGAUCCAUUGAAGACCACCAGUGGCGAAGGCGGCUUGCCAGAACGCGCUCGACGGUGAGGGAUGAAAGCUGGGGGAGCAAACCGG